rnacentral:rRNA from 2 species
GGCGGACGGGUGAGUAAUGCUUGGGAACAUGCCUUGAGGUGGGGGACAACAGUUGGAAACGACUGCUAAUACCGCAUAAUGUCUACGGACCAAAGGGGGCUUCGGCUCUCGCCUUUAGAUUGGCCCAAGUGGGAUUAGCUAGUUGGUGAGGUAAUGGCUCACCAAGGCGACGAUCCCUAGCUGGUUUGAGAGGAUGAUCAGCCACACUGGGACUGAGACACGGCCCAGACUCCUACGGGAGGCAGCAGUGGGGAAUAUUGCACAAUGGGCGCAAGCCUGAUGCAGCCAUGCCGCGUGUGUGAAGAAGGCCUUCGGGUUGUAAAGCACUUUCAGUCAGGAGGAAAGGUUAGUAGUUAAUACCUGCUAGCUGUGACGUUACUGACAGAAGAAGCACCGGCUAACUCCGUGCCAGCAGCCGCGGUAAUACGGAGGGUGCGAGCGUUAAUCGGAAUUACUGGGCGUAAAGCGUAC